UACGUAGGGUGCAAGCGUUAUCCGGAAUUAUUGGGCGUAAAGAGCUUGUAGGCGGUUUGUCGCGUCUGCUGUGAAAGUCCGGGGCUCAACUCCGGAUCUGCGGUGGGUACGGGCAGACUAGAGUGCAGUAGGGGAGACUGGAAUUCCUGGUGUAGCGGUGAAAUGCGCAGAUAUCAGGAGGAACACCGAUGGCGAAGGCAGGUCUCUGGGCUGUAACUGACGCUGAGGAGCGAAAGCAUGGGGAGCGAACAGG
rnacentral:rRNA from 1 species